AAUUGAUCAUAAUAAUGCAAACUAUACGGAAGCCUCAUUCGUUCAUACUUAAUAAAGAUCUUAUUCAUAAUAAUUUAAAUCUUAUCUGAAUAUCUAGGAUUCAGAUCUUAGUUAUUAAAAUCGCGGUAGUGAGACAUAUCACAUAUCAUAGCUAGUUAGUUGAGAUCUUGGCCAUGUCCUUCAUUUCAUAAACUAAAUCCUCAAUAAACUUGCAUUGUAUAUCCUUAUUCAACAGAAACUCCUUCCAUUUCUUCUGAUUUUCCCUAAACAGUUUACCUGGCUCCUCCAUCAUCACCAUCUCCACAGCUUCCUUAAUAUCUUGUUUACCAAAAUAUCCAUCUUCAUCUCUCCUAUUCACCUCCACCCCAGCUUUCAUAUCCCCACUCACUAGUUUUGCAUUCAAGAACUGAUCACCUUUCUGUGGCAACAUAACAACUUGACAAUCAUUCACUAAUGCCUCUAUCACUGAACUGAAUCCUGCAUGACAUACAUAACAACCAACACUAGAAUGUGCAAGUAUCUGUUGUUGCUGAACCCAACCUGAAUGAAUAAUUCCCCUUUCCUUCACUCUCUCCAUAAACCCUUUUGGUAAGACUCUGUUUAGUUCAGUCGAAACAUCAAUAUUUGCAGGAAAAUUCAAGACAAGAAAGAAAGGAAGCCCUGUUUCUUCCAAACCUAAAGCUAGUUCUUUUAUCUGAUCAUCAGUUAAGAAUGUUUCGCUUCCGAAAGAAGAGUAAAUAACUGAUCCUAAUUCAAAUUUGUUUAGCCAAUUACCCCAUCGUUCUUCUAAUUCUCCUGUAGGUGGAUCAGGUACUACUGGUCCAACUAGAAAAACAGGUUUCUUGAAUUGUGAUUUAACGUAUUCGAUAUAAGGUCCUUCCAUUUGAGAACAAGUUUUAGCUAGUAUAGCAGAGCACCCCUUCAGACCUGAGAGUACGCGGUCAUAUACUGUAGGACCUCCAUGGAAACUCUUGAAAAUGUAUAGAAAAUCUUGAGCUUCAAAGGUUUUGACUGAGGUAACAGAGGUGUGAGGAAAUGCAGGUGGAGGUUUUUUCAUGUCUUCAAGAGAUGGACAAUUUUUGGGUUGAGGGACUCUAGCAGGACAAGUAAGAAAAGCAGUGGAGAGUGCAACAAAAACAGAGUAAUAAACAGAUUUGAUCCCCAAUUCAUCAGCCAUUUUAGGGAGCCAAUCUUGAGCAAAGUCGAAAAGAACAAAAUGGGGUCUGAGAUUGGAAAGUAAAGACUUGAUUUGUGGUUGCAUUUGGUCUAAAGCAACUUUGAGAAGUUCAGCAGUUACUGGUGUCAAUUCAGCAGUACUUUCAGCACCAGGAGGUAGACCUUCGACUUGCGGAAGAGUGAGAGGGACGAUACUAGUAGUUGGAGCAGAGUUCAACAUAGAUUUCACUCUGUUUGCAUUGCCAGAUGCAGUGAAAAAUGAAACUUUAACACCAUGAAUGGAGAGCUUGUUAGAAAGCUGAACAAAUGGACUAAUAUGACCAAAUGCGAAAAAAAAGGGA
rnacentral:misc_RNA from 1 species